rnacentral:rRNA from 1 species
UAGAGUUUGAUCCUGGCUCAGGACGAACGCUGGCGGCGCGCUUAACACAUGCAAGUCGAGCGGGAACCAGGCCUUCGGGCCUGGGGACAGCGGCGAACGGGUGAGUAACACGUGGGUAAUCUGCCCUCGGUACUGGGAUAGCCCGGGGAAACCCGGAUUAAUACCGGAUGGCCCUGCGAAUCUUCGGGCUCGCAGGAAAAGGUAGCUUCGGCCUCCGACCGAGGAUGAGCCCGCGGCGGAUUAGCUUGUUGGUGGGGUAACGGCCUACCAAGGCGACGAUCCGUAGCUGGUCUGAGAGGACGAUCAGCCACACUGGGACUGAGACACGGCCCAGACUCUUACGGGAGGCAGCAGUGGGGAAUCUUGCCCAUGGGCGAAAGCCUGAGGCAGCGACGCCGCGUGCGGGAAGAAGGCCCUCGGGUUGUAAACC